rnacentral:rRNA from 1 species
UACAGAGGUCCCAAGCGUUGUUCGGAUUUACUGGGCGUAAAGGGUGCGUAGGAGGUUGGCAAAGUCGGGUGUGAAAUCUCACCGCUUAACGGUGAAAUUGCGCUCGAUACUGGUUGACUAGAGUAUCGGAGGGGAAAGCGGAAUUCCUGGUGUAGCGGUGAAAUGCGUAGAUAUCAGGAGGAACACCUAUUGCGAAGGCAGCUCGCUGGGACGUUACUGACGCUGAGACGCGAAAGCGUGGGGAGCAAACAGG